GUUAAAACCACGGUGUAUCAAUUGCAUUAACCUUGCAGUUCAGCUCUCCUACAGAAAGGCAAAUUAAAAUGAACUUCCCAAAAUGGAAAACAAUUUUUAAAAUGGGGAAAAAACACCUUUGUUUUGCUUCCUGCUUUGUGGCUCCCAUUGGCAGUGUCGGACUUUGGGCUUUAACAUUUCAGUGGCGCCCUGUGUGACACCCAAACUCAGACCCCCACCCAGCCUCUCACCUUCAUUGUUACAGCACCCUCUGCAGCACCCUCUUGGCUUGACCCUAGUGCAGGCAAACCAAUCACGCUCCCCUAAAUCCACCUCUGUUGUUGAUGGAGCAAUGCCAGCAGUCAGAGUUCAACUUUAUUCACUGGUGCAACUGGCAAACACAGUUGAGGAUCAAUUGGUUGAACUCAUUGUUAAUGAAGGGUUACAGCUCUGUUUGCUUCUAAAACAAGCAAGGCAAGUCCAUUUUCCUGUGCCUGGCAGCAACCAUCAGAGGCAUUGACCUGCUGGGCAGGAUACAAUGAGCUUCUGCUUUCCCACUCUGCCAAACCAGAAUUAUGGCAUCAGUGACCUGGACUUCUGCUCUCAGCUCAGGGUUCGUCCACACUUCCACUUGUUCUGUGCCUAGAAAGUACAGGGCUGGGUGGUUUUCUGCUUAAACUAUGCUUUCUUGGCAAGUGUCCAAGUGGUUUUGCCUCUCCUCCACUGCUUUCUCCUGGAAAACAUCAAUCCAGAGAAAACCCAGCAGACAUUUGCUCCGAUUCAGCAGUCAAUAGCGGGGGGGGGGGGGGUUCCCAGAGGAAAGCAGCAGUGUGGAUGAGUCCUCAAGCAGGCUGAUGCUCAUUGGAACUGAUAGGGUGGGAGGCAGGGAGCCCAACAGUAGGUGGCGCCAGAGCCAAUGAUAGGCAGUGCCAGCUAUCUCUAGCUUUGUCUCCAACCUACUCCCAACAGUGUGACAACACUGAGACUAAGGAGGAGGAAGCUGACAGGCUGUGCUGUCCCAUGAACUGUUUGUAAGAAAUGGAGCAGGCAGGUGGUGUGGGGCUGAGAGAGGGCAGACUGGGGUUGGGGGGCAGUGCUCCAUUUGUCCCAAUGCACCAGGCCCCUUUUACUCCAACUGAUGUAGCUGGAGAAAGACGAUACUUUUAAAGAGAGCUGGAGGAAGUAUGAGAGGGACUUCAUAUUGCAUGGGGAGCCCACAGGUUUCUUUUGCCCCGCUGUUACUUCUAGCCUUUUCCUGAAAUACCAAGAAAAACAUCCAAGAAAUUUUAGCAGAAGGGAACAUAGGGUGAAUGUACACACUGCGCAUGACAUUCCAGUGUGGUGUAGUGGUUAAGAGCGGUAGACUCGUAAUCUGGGGAACCGGGUUCACUUCCCCGCUCCUCCACAUGCAGCUGCUGGGUGACCUUGGGCCAGUCACACUUCUCUGAAGUCUCUCAGCCCCACUCACCUCACAGAGUGUUUGUUGUGGGGGAGGAAGGGAAAGGAGAGUGUUGGCCACUUUGAGACUCCUUCAGGUAGUGAUAAAGCGGGAUAUCAAAUCCAAACUCUUCUUCUUCUUCAUUCAAACCACUUUCAAGACACAGGGUGAGGGGAAAAUGGGUUGGAUCCACAGGUGGAAGUGGUUUUUAUUCAGCAGAAGCACCUAUGAAGGUGAGAAGGGAGGAGAGACCAUGGGGUUGCGGCACUCAUCUCACUUUCAGGCCGAGGGUGCAGGCGUUUGUCCACAGACAGCUUUCCGGGUCAUGUGGCCAGUAUGACUAAACUGAUUCUGUCGCAACAGGACGCCGUGACUGAAACCAGAGCACAUGGAAACGCCAUUUACCUUCCCACUGCAGCUAUACCUAUUCAUCUACUUGCACUGGUGUGCUUUCGAACUGCUAAGAGCUGAGACAGAACGACGGAAGCUCACCACCAUCAAGCAGAUUCAAACUGCUGACCUCCUGAUCAGCAAGCCCAAGAGACUCAGUGGUUUAGACCACAGCGCCACCCACGUCCCCAUGUAUACCUAAAGUGGACUUUUUGCUGGUAUGCUUCAGCCCCUGGCUGACCACCAAAGUGACUCUCGGACCCCCAAAGGCUAGCCUUCAACAAAGGAUUAACCUUCAUUACAGAUCUGUAGUUUGAAUCAAGCAAAGCUUACCUUGAACCUGAACUUUUCAGGGGUAUUUUCACUUUCUCCAAGAUCCCUUCCAACUCAAACACUAUGUGAUUGCAAUGGAACUCUUUAUCCUGGGUUUCCCCAUGUUCGGCAGACACUUUUGAGAGGUUUCAUUUGGUAUGGGACCACUAUGUUUGACAGCACUUCAACAAGGAUUGUCAUGCCAGUCAAAGGACUCAAUUCAGCCAUGGAUUCAAUUCCAUCUAAAACAGCCAAUGCAUUUGGUCCCAUUGAUUUCAGUGGGAGAGUCCAAGGUUGGCUGGGUCAUCAUGACCCAUAUUGAAAUACAUAUUUGAUAUUCAGUGUGUUUUCUACACUUAAAAACUCUCAUCACUGCAUGGCACCUGAAUUACAAGCGUAUUUUGAUUGUUUUGCUUAACUUCAUAUGUUUAAGAACACGUAGAAAACUAUUCCACAGCUUCAGUUGCUCAACCUUUUCCUUCCCAAACAAAAGAAUCUGUUUUAUCUAUUUCUUCUAGCUAAAGUUGAUCUGCACUUGUUUACCACGAAAGGUGAAUGUUACCUCUAUAAGGCAGCACCAAUCUGAAGGCUAUUUCAGCUCCAUGAAAGCACAUCUCAAAAUUAAUCAUUCAG